rnacentral:tRNA from 1 species
GGAGAGAUGGCCGAGGUCGAGGCGCUCCCCUGCUAAGGGGAGCAUACGGGCAAACCGGUAUCGAGGGUUCAGAAUCCCUCGUCCGCCA